rnacentral:rRNA from 1 species
UAGACCAAGACCAAUGGGGCUCUCGGGCUCCUAAGUUAAGGUGACUCUGGAUAACUGUGCUGAUCGCAUGGCCUUAGCGCCGGCGAUGAAUCUUUCAAGUGUCUGCCUUAUCAACUUUCGAUGGUAGGUUAUGCGCCUACCAUGGUUGUAACGGGUGACGGGGAAUCAGGGUUCGAUUCCGGAGAGGGAGCCUGAGAAACGGCUACCACAUCCAAGGAAGGCAGCAGGCACGCAAAUUACCCACUCCCAGAACGGGGAGGUAGUGACGAAAAAUAACAAUACGGGAUUCCAAUGAAGCCCCGUAAUUGGGAUGAGAACAAUCUAAAUCCUUUAACGAGGAUCAAUUGGAGGGCAAGUCUGGUGCCAGCAGCCGCGGUAAUUCCAGCUCCAAUAGCGUAUAUUAAAGUUGUUGCGGUUAAAAAGCUCGUAGUUGGAUCUCAGUUCAUGCUAUGUGGUCCGCUUGCCGGCGGUUACUGCUUAGCUGAACAGCUUACAGAUUUGUCUUGUGAUGCUCUUUACCGGGUGUCAUGAGCGAUCUGUACGUUUACUUUGAACAAAUUAGAGUGCUCAGAGCAG